rnacentral:rRNA from 1 species
UCGAGAAUAUUCGACAAUGGGCGAAAGCCUGAUCGAGCGACGCCGCGUGCAGGAUGAAGGUCUUAGGAUUGUAAACUGCUUUUCUACGGGAAGAAGGUACGUUGAGUACUGUGACGGUACCGUGGGAAUAAGUGGCUGCAAACUUCGUGCCAGCAGCCGCGGUAAUACGAAGGCCACAAGCGUUAUCCGGAUUUAUUGGGUGUAAAGGGCGCGUAGGUGGUUCGGUGCGUCUUCUGUUAAAUUUCACGGCUCAACCGUGAAGCUGCAGAGGAUACGGCCGAACUCGAGAGCGUUAGAGGCAAAUGGAACUCAUGGUGUAGGGGUGAAAUCCGUUGAUAUCAUGGGGAACACCGAAGGCGAAGGCAAUUUGCUGGGACGUUUCUGACACUGAGGCGCGAAA